rnacentral:lncRNA from 1 species
UUUUUAGUGGAGAUGGAGUUUUUCUAUACUGGCCAGGCUGGUCUCGAACUCCUGACCUCAGGCAAUCCACCUGCCUCGGCCUCCUAAAGUGAGCCACCAUGCCUGCCCUCUUUCUUCUUUUUAUUCCUGCUCCAGCACGCCAAAGAGCCAUGUUAUAUAAAGGGGGGCCUAAAACCCAAAAGAAAUAGAGCAAGGGAGGGCCAUUUCAAGGAGGAAUCCAGCUUCUUUUUUGUUUUUAGCAACACCCCUGUUUCUCUCUUCAUAUAAACAUUCUCCAUCUCAUCACACCUCUAUGCUGGAAACUUGAGUCUUUGGAUUUCUUGCUGUUCAAAAUUCUGCAGUGGGUUAAAGCAGUCUGUUCAGUUCCUCCUGAAGUGAUUCCACUGCUCCAUGUGCAUUGGAUUUACCUUCUGUAGAUUUUAGUCGUGACGUGAUUAAUGCCUCCAUUCCAUGUCAACUAACAUAAGCCUAAAAAAAAACCACACAGAUCUUUAUGUAAAAUCUGUAAAAGAAUGAAUAUCUACUUUGUCCUCCUUCCACAGGGAACCCAACCCAUGUGGGCCCUGGGGCCACAGAAUGCUGGCAACUGCUGCUCAAGGACCAGCAUGAGGGGGCCAGGGCCAGGGUGCUGCUUUUGGGAAUGCUGUACACCUCAGCCAUUGUGGCUUUUGUGCUGUAUAAGUGUUUCAGAUGCAAGGAUGGCGGGGGGUCUGCAUCUCUCAUGGCGGUGCCAUAGUACUGAGAGCAAGAUACAGUUUCCACUGUCUGUGAAAUGAAGAUAAUAGUUGAUUGGCCUCCAACAUUAUAGAGUAAUUUUAAGGAUUCAGCGAGGUCAGGGAUGUGAAAGGCACGUGGUAAACCGUAAAUGAAUAAUGAUCAUCACAUUUAAUUUUCCUACAAUCUAAUAAAGAGUAGCCAUGCUUGAGGUCAUCCAGAGCAGCAACUGGUGGAGCUGGACACCCAGCUAGUGUUCAUACUACUAAAGUGGGGCCAAUGGUGGCACAAGGGGUUGAUUGCUGCAACCAUGGUGUUUCUAGAGUUCAAGACAUCAAGUGGUAUCGUGGUCUCCUAGGGAAGGAAGCCCUUAAAUAUGAGUUGAUGGUACAUUUGGAAAGUAACACCUUCCAGGACAGUAUCUUCAGCCCUGACCCUAUUAUUUAUUUGCAUUAGAAAAUAGAACCAAUUGAACCAAUUUUGAUGUGUGAAACUACCAGAGAUAGCUAGUAAUGAUCCCAGGUAGACAUGACAGGCUAGGAUGAGUGACUGAAUUUAAUAAUGAAAUUUAACAAGGAUAGUUUAGUAAAUUCUAUCAUUGGGCCUGAGUACAGCCUGGAAGAAGACAU